GGGGGAAUAUUGCACAAUGGGGCGAAAGCCUGAUGCAGCAACGCCGCGUGAGGGAAGACGGUUUUCGGAUUGUAAACCUCUGUUUUCGGUGACGAACAAAUGACGGUAACCGAGUAGGAAGCCACGGCUAACUACGUGCCAGCAGCCGCGGUAAUACGGAGGAUGCGAGCGUUAUCCGGAUUUAUUGGGUUUAAAGGGUGCGCAGGCGGACUCAUCAAGUCAGCGGUAAAAAUUCGGGGCUCAACCCCGUCCUGCCGUUGAAACUGCGAGACUGGAGUGCGACAGAGGAAAGCGGAAUGCGAGGUGUAGCGGUGAAAUGCAUAGAUAUCGCGCAGAACUCCGAUUGCGAAGGCAACUUUCCAUGUCGUGACUGACGCUGAGGCACGAAAGCGUGGGGAUCGAACAGGAUUAGAUACCCUGGUAGU
rnacentral:rRNA from 1 species